rnacentral:rRNA from 1 species
GAUGAACGCUGGCGGCGUGCUUAACACAUGCAAGUCGAACGAAGCGCUUAAACGGAUUUCUUCGGAUUGAAGUUUUUGUGACUGAGUGGCGGACGGGUGAGUAACGCGUGGGUAACCUGCCUCAUACAGGGGGAUAACAGUUAGAAAUGGCUGCUAAUACCGCAUAAGACCACAGUACUGCAUGGUACAGUGGUAAAAACUCCGGUGGUAUGAGAUGAACCCGCGUCUGAUUAGGUAGUUGGUGAGGUAACGGCCCACCAAGCCGACGAUCAGUAGCCGACCUGAGAGGGUGACCGGCCACAUUGGAACUGAGACACGGUCCAA